UACGUAGGGACCAAGCGUUGUCCGGAAUUAUUGGGCGUAAAGAGCUUGUAGGCGGUUUGUCGCGUCUGCUGUGAAAUUUCGGGGCUCAACCCCGAACUUGCAGUGGGUACGGGCAGACUAGAGUGUGGUAGGGGAGACUGGAAUUCCUGGUGUAGCGGUGAAAUGCGCAGAUAUCAGGAGGAACACCGAUGGCGAAGGCAGGUCUCUGGGCCAUAACUGACGCUGAGAAGCGAAAAGCAUGGGGGAGCGAACAGG
rnacentral:rRNA from 1 species